rnacentral:rRNA from 1 species
GACGAACGCUGGCGGCGUGCUUAACACAUGCAAGUCGAACGAAGUGGCGAACGGGUGAGUAACGCGUAAUCAACCUGCCCUUCAGAGGGGGACAACAGUUGGAAACGACUGCUAAUACCGCAUACUGAAGGAGGGGAUUGCGUCUGAUUAGGUAGUUGGCGGGGUGACGCCCCACCAAGGCGAUGAUCAGUAGGAGGGCUGGGAGGAGGAACGGGCACAUUGGGAAUGGGAGACGGCCCAGACGCCUAAGGGAGGCAGCAGGGGGGGAUAUUCCGAAAUGGGUGAAAGGCUGACGGGGCAAAGCCGCGUGAGUGAUGACGGCCUUCGGGUUGUAAAGCUUUGUUAAUCGGGACGCGGUACCGGAAUAGAAAGCCACGGCUAACUACGUGCCAGCAGCCGCGGUAAUAC